rnacentral:rRNA from 1 species
CCCUUAGAUGUUCUGGGCCGCACGCGUGCUACACUGAACGGUUCAAUGGGUAAGGUAGUGCGAAAGCAUGACCUAAUCUCGAAAUCCGUUCGUGCUGGGGAUAGAAGCUUGCAAUUAUCCUUCUUGAACGAGGAAUACCUUGUAAGCGUGAGUCAUCAUCUCACGCUGAAUACGUCCCUGCCCUUUGUACACACCGCCCGUCGCUCCUACCGAUUGAGUGUUCCGGUGAGGCUUCGGGAGAACUGGGUGGAUUGUGUUUCACAAACUGCUCGGUUUGAACUUAGUCAAACCUUAUCACUUAGAGGAAGGAGAAGUCGUAACA